AGAAAGUUGCUCGAGUGGUUGAAGAGGCACGCCUGGAACGCGUGUAAGGUGUCAAAGCCUUCGAGGGUUCGAAUCCCUCACUUUCUG
rnacentral:tRNA from 1 species